AGGGUUUGAUUCUGGCUCAGAUUGAACGCUGGCAGCAUGCUUUACACAUGCAAGUCGAACGGCAGCAUAGAGAGCUUGCUCUCUGAUGGCGAGUGGCGAACGGGUGAGUAAUGCAUCGGAACAUGUCUUUGAGUGGGGGAUAGCUCGGCGAAAGCCGGAUUAAUACCGCAUAGUCUCUUCGGAGUAAAGUGGGGGACCCUCGGGCCUCAUGCUUAAAGAGUGGCCGAUGUCGGAUUAGCUUGUUGGUGAGGUAAUGGCUCACCAAGGCUACGAUCCGUAACUGGUCUGAGAGGAUGAUCAGUCACACUGGAACUGAGACACGGUCCAGACUCCUACGGGAGGCAGCAGUGGGGAAUUUUGGACAAUGGGGGAAACCCUGAUCCAGCGAUGCUGCGUGCGGGAAGAAGGCCUUAGGGUUGUAAACCGCUUUCAGCUAGGAAGAAAAGAUUAUAGUUAAUAUCUAUAAUUUAUGACGGUACUAGCAGAAGAAGCACCGGCUAACUACGUGCCAGCAGCCGCGGUAAUACGUAGGGUGCAAGCGUUAAUCGGAAUUACUGGGCGUAAAGAGUGCGCAGGCGGCUCUUUAAGACAGGUGUGAAAUCCCCGAGCUCAACUUGGGAAUUGCGCUUGUGACUGGAGAGCUAGAGUGCAGAAGAGGGGGAUAGAAUUCCUGGUGUAGCAGUGAAAUGCGUAGAUAUCAGGAGGAAUACCGAUGGCGAAGGCAGUCCCCUGGGCUAGCACUGACGCUCAUGCACGAAAGCGUGGGGAGCAAACAGGAUUAGAUACCCUGGUAGUCCACGCCCUAAACGAUGUCAACUAGUUGUUGGAAGAGGAGACUCUUUUAGUAACGAAGCUAACGCGUGAAGUUGACCGCCUGGGGAGUACGGUCGCAAGAUUAAAACUCAAAGGAAUUGACGGGGACCCGCACAAGCGGUGGAUGAUGUGGAUUAAUUCGAUGCAACGCGAAAAACCUUACCUACCCUUGACAUGUGCAGAACUUUAUAGAGAUAUAUUGGUGCCCGAAAGGGAGCUGCAACACAGGUGCUGCAUGGCUGUCGUCAGCUCGUGUCA
rnacentral:rRNA from 1 species